rnacentral:rRNA from 1 species
UACGUAGGGUGCGAGCGUUGUCCGGAAUUAUUGGGCGUAAAGAGCUUGUAGGUGGCUCGUUGCGUCGGGAGUGAAAACCUGCGGCUUAACCGCAGGCCUGCUUCCGAUACGGGCGAGCUAGGAGUUCGGCAGGGGAGACUGGAAUUCCUGGUGUAGCGGUGGAAUGCGCAGAUAUCAGGAGGAACACCGGUGGCGAAGGCGGUUCUCUGGGCCUGUUCUGACGCUGAGGAGCGAAAGCGUGGGGAGCGAACAGG